rnacentral:rRNA from 1 species
UACGGAGGAUGCAAGCGUUAUCCGGAAUGAUUGGGCGUAAAGGGUCCGCAGGUGGCAAUGUGUGUCUGCUGUCAAAGAAUGAGGCUUAACCUCAUCAAGGCAGUGGAAACUACAUAGCUAGAGUACGGUCGGGGUAGAAGGAAUUCCUGGUGUAGCGGUGAAAUGCGUAGAUAUCGGGAGGAACACCAGUGGCGAAGGCGGCUUCCUGGCCUGUUCUUGACGCUGAGGCGCGAAAGCUAGGGGAGCAAACGGG